CUGGCUCAGGAUGAACGCUAGCGGCAGGCCUAACACAUGCAAGUCGAGGGGCAGCACGGGUAGCAAUACUUGGUGGCGACCGGCGCACGGGUGAGUAACGCGUAUGCAACCUACCUUUAACUGGGGGAUAGCCCAGGGAAACUUGGAUUAAUACCCCAUAAGACAUUAGUACCGCAUGGUACAGAUGUUAAAGUUCCGGCGGUUAGAGAUGGGCAUGCGUGCCAUUAGGUAGUUGGCGGGGUAACGGCCCACCAAGCCUGCGAUGGCUACGGGGUCUAAAAGGAUGGUCCCGCUCACUGGUACUGAGACACGGACCAGACUCCUACGGGAGGCAGCAGUGAGGAAUAUUGGUCAAUGGGGGCAACCCUGAACCAGCCAUGCCGCGUGGAGGAAGACGGCCCUAUGGGUUGUAAACUCCUUUUGUACGGGAAUAAUAGCACCUACGUGUAGGUGUAUGAAGGUACCGUGUGAAUAAGGAUCGGCUAACUCCGUGCCAGCAGCCGCGGUAAUACGGAGGAUCCAAGCGUUAUCCGGAUUUAUUAGGUUUAAAGGGUGCGCAGGCGGCCCUAUAAGUCAGUGGUGAAAGUUUGCGGCUUAACCGUAAAAUUGCCAUUGAUACUGUAGGGCUUGAAUAUGGUAGAGGUAGGCGGAAUGUGUAGUGUAGCGGUGAAAUGCUUAGAUAUUACACAGAACACCGAUUGCGAAGGCAGCUUACUAUGCCAUGAUUGACGCUGAGGCACGAAAGCGUGGGUAGCGAACAGGAUUAGAUACCCUGGUAGUC
rnacentral:rRNA from 1 species